ACUGCAUAGUGGGCCAACUUCUCAAGGACUGAUAAAGCUUGUACAGCAGCUAAAGGUUAGUUUUCACAAGAGCGCCGCCAACGACGAAACCCCACUUGAAGAAGACUAAUGAAGUUAUAAUCCAAGAAGAGGAAUCCAAUGAUGAAGUCACUUGAUUUGAAAUAAGGUCCGCACGGUGCCACUGACGUUACGCAGUGAGGUUGAGAGUGCGCUGCAAGAGCUUGAAAAAAAUAAGAUUAUAGAAAGAAAAGAAUUAUCAGCUUAUGCCUCACCAAUUGUUACUGUCAGAAAGCAGAAUGGAUCCCUUAGGGUUUGUGGGGAUUUUCGUAAAAUAAAUGAAAUUCAUGAAUCUAAAUUCCCAUUACCUAAUAUGUCAGAAUUAAUUUCCAGUGUGUCUGGAUAUAAGUAUUAUACCAGACUUGAUCUCAAGAAUGCUUAUUUGCAAAUGGAAGUUGCUCCAGAAGACCGUAAAUAUUUGGUAAUUAACACACAUUUGGGUCUAAUAGAUAUUUACAGUUACCAUUUGGUAUCCAUUCUGCUCCUGCAAUAUUUCAAGAGUUCGUUUCCAAAUUGUUAGCUUCUUAUGAUUUUGCUUAUCCAUAUGUGGAUGAUAUUGUUAUAGGUGGAGACU